AAACAGUGCUUUCCCUUAGCCUCCUCUUUUCCUAAACACCAACCUGCUGGCACAUCUGGCCACAGCCCUGUGCCUUCUUUCUGCCCGCGGUGUCUCUGAGCUAUCACGUGCUACAGCCCCUCCUUAGGGAAGGCUGUGGCAUGGGAAUCUCGGCCCAGGAGGAGAUCUGAGAAGGUGAAGGGUAGAGGAGUUUAAGAGGGACCCAGA
rnacentral:lncRNA from 1 species